rnacentral:tRNA from 1 species
GCCCCAAUAGCUCAGGUUGGAUAGAGCGUUUGCUUGCGGAGCAAAAGGUCGGGAGUUCGAGUCUCUCUUGGGGCA